rnacentral:RNase_P_RNA from 1 species
AUUGGAAGGUGACUGAGCAAGUUCUCAUACUUGUUAGGAAAGUCCAUGCUAGCACUCACCUUUGAAGGUGAGUAGUGUUUGUGCCAAAGGAAACAAUAACUUUGGGUAUGGUAACAUAACGGCGAAGUUAAUUAUCUAAAGGGAAACCUAUGAUAAUACUUCUGAAAGUGCCACAGAGACGAGUCUUUUAGAAAUAAAAGAUGUGAAACGCGGUAAACCCCACAAGCUAGCAACCCAAAUUAUGGUAGGGGCACGAGAAAGGUAGUAAUAUCUUUCUUGCAGGUUUAUACCUGAGAUUAAUAGUCACAAGAAGAGAAAUCUUCUACAGAACAUGGCUUAUGCAC